rnacentral:rRNA from 1 species
UACGUAGGUGGCAAGCGUUGUUCGGAAUUAUUGGGCGUAAAGGGCGCGUAGGCGGUUUGUUAAGUCGGCUGUGAAAGCCCGGGGCUCAACCCCGGAGGGUCAGCCGAUACUGGCAGACUAGAGUACGGAAGAGGUAGCUGGAAUUCCCGGUGUAGCGGUGAAAUGCGCAGAUAUCAGGAGGAACACCGGUGGCGAAGGCGGGUCUCUGGGCCGUAACUGACGCUGAGGAGCGAAAGCGUGGGGAGCGAACAGG